GAUCCUGGCUCAGGACGAACGCUGGCGGCGUGCCUAACACAUGCAAGUCGAACGAGAAUCGUAUGACGGAGUUUUCGGACAACUGAUUACGAGGACAGUGGCGGACGGGUGAGUAACGCGUGAGCAACCUGCCUUGGAGUGGGGGACAACAGAGGGAAACUUCUGCUAAUACCGCAUAAUGUGCCGUGGGGACAUCCCCGUGGCACCAAAGAUUUAUCGCUCUAAGAUGGGCUCGCGU
rnacentral:rRNA from 1 species